GUGAAUCAUACUUAUUGUCAGGCCUCUGAGCCCAAGCCAAGCCAUCGCAUCCCCUGUGACUUGCACGUAUAUGCCCAGAUGGCCUGAAGUAACUGAAGAAUCACAAAAGAAGUGAAUAUGCCCUGCCCCACCUUAACUGAUGACAUUCCACCACAAAAGAAGUGUAAAUGGCCGGUCCUUGCCUUAAGUGAUGACAUUACCUUGUGAAAGUCCUUUUCCUGGCUCAUCCUGGCUCAAAAAGACUCCCACUUAGCACCUUUCGACCCCCACUCCUGCCCGCCAGAGAACAACCCCCCUUUGACUGUAAUUUUCCUUUACCUACCCAAAUCCUAUAAAACGGCCCCACCCCAUCUUCCUUUGCUGACUCUCUUUUCGGACUCAGCCUGACUGCACCCAGGUGGAAUAAACAGCCAUGUUGCUCACACGAAGCCUGUUUAGUGGUCUCUUCACACGGACACGCAUGAAAUUUGGUGCCGUGACUCGGAUCGGGGGACCUCCCUUGGGAGAUCAAUCCCCUGUCCUCCUGUUCUUUGCUCUGUGAGAAAGAUCCACCUACGACCUCAGGUCCUCAGACCGACCAGCCCAAGGAACAUCUCACCAAUUUUAAAUCAGGAGCUUGCUACACCUGCCGGAAAUCUGGCCACUGGGCCAAGGAAUGCCCACAGCACAGGAUUCCUCCUAAGCCGCGUCCCAUCUGUGUGGGACCCCACUGAAAAUUGGACUGUUCAACUCACCUGGCAGCCACUCCCAGAGCCCCUGGAACUCUGGCCCAAGGCUCUCUGACUGACUCCUUCCCAGAUCUUCUCAGCUUAGCGGCUGAAGACUGACACUGCCCAAUCGCCUCGGAAGCCCCCUAGACCAUCACGGACGCCGAGCUUCGGGUAACUCUCACAGUGGAAGCUCAAGCUGAGUUUUGCUGGCUGUCCACCACUGCUGUUUUCCGCCAUCGCAGACCCGCUGCUGAGUUCCAUCCCUCCGGAUCCACCAGGGUGUCCACUGUGCUCCUGAUCCAGCAAGGCGCCCAUUGCCGCUCCUGAUCGGGCUAAAGGCUUGCCAUUGUUCCUGCACGGCUAAGUGCCUGGGUUCGUCCUAAUCGAGCUGAACACUAGUCACUGGGUUCCACAGUUCUCUUCCAUGACCCACAGCUUCUAACAGAGCUAUAACACUCACUGCAUGGCCCAAGAUUCCAUUCCUUGGAAUCCGUGAGGCCAAGAAUCCCAGGUCAGAGAAUACGAGGCUUGCCACCACUUGGAAGCGGCCUGCCGCCAUUUUGGAAGCGGCCCGCUGCCAUCUUGGGAUCUCUGGGAGCAAGGACCCCCGGUAACAAUUAUGCAUGCAAUAAUAACAUGAAACCAAAUAUUGUGAUGGGGCUGAAUUUUAGAUGGAUGAGGAAAGUAAAGGUGAGAAAUGGCUGUGUAAACAAGAUGGAUCCUUCAACUACUAAAGGCCAAUAAAUAAAUGCAUAUUGUCUAAA